rnacentral:rRNA from 1 species
CAUGUCUUUUUGAUUAUAAUAUAAAGUCUGGCCUGCCCUAUGAAUUAAAUUUUAAAUGGCCGCGGUAUUUUGACCGUGCAAAGGUAGCAUAAUAAUUAGUUUUUUAAUUGAGAACUGGUAUGAAAGGUUUGACGAAGGAAAAACUGUCUCAGUUUAAUUUUAAUUAGAAUUUUAUUUUUAAGUUAAAAAGCUUAAAUAGUUUUAAAAGACGAGAAGACCCUAUAGAAUUUUAUAUUUAUAAUUAUAUUUAAAAGUUUAAGUAUUAUAGAUUUGAAUAUAAAUAUAAAUAUUUAGUUGGGGCAACUAAAAAAUUUAAUUAACUUUUUUUAUAUUAAAACAUUGAUAUAUGAAUAAAUGAUCCAUAUUUUUAUGAUUAUAAGAUUAAAUUACCUUAGGGAUAACAGCGUUAUUUUUUUUUAGAGUUCUUAUCGAAAAAAAAGUUUGCGACC